UUUCUGUAGGUGAACCUGCGGAAGGAUCAUUCAUAAUAAAGUGUUUUAUGGCACUUUCUAAAAAUCCAUAUCCACCUUGUGUGCAAUGUUAGAUCUCGUCAAUCUUGGCGAGAUUUUUAUACAUCAACUCAUUCUUUAACUAAUUUGUCUGAAAAAUAUUAUGAAUACUUAAUUCAAAAUACAACUUUCAACAACGGAUCUCUUGGCUCUC
rnacentral:misc_RNA from 1 species